rnacentral:rRNA from 1 species
AGUGGCGGACGGGUGAGUAACGCGUGAGAAUCUGCCUUCAGGAUGGGGACAACAGUUGGAAACGACUGCUAAUACCCGAUGUGCCGAGAGGUGAAAAUUUUUUGCCUGAAGAGGAGCUCGCGUCUGAUUAGCUAGUUGGUGGGGUAAAAGCUUACCAAGGCAACGAUCAGUAGCUGGUCUGAGAGGAUGAGCAGCCACACUGGGACUGAGACACGGCCCAGACUCCUACGGGAGGCAGCAGUGGGGAAUUUUCCGCAAUGGGCGAAAGCCUGACGGAGCAAUACCGCGUGAGGGAGGAAGGCCUUUGGGUUGUAAACCUCUUUUCUCAGGGAAUAAGAUCUGACGGUACCUGAGGAAUAAGCAUCGGCUAACUCCGUGCCAGCAGCCGCGGUAAUACGGAGGAUGCAAGCGUUAUCCGGAAUUAUUGGGCGUAAAGCGUCCGCAGGUGGUUUUUCAAGUCUGCUGUCAAAGACCAGAGCUCAACUCUGGGCCGGCGGUGGAAACUGGGAAACUAGAGUUCGGUAGGGGUAGCGGGAAUUCCCAGUGUAGCGGUGAAAUGCGUAGAUAUUGGGAAGAACAUCGGUGGCGAAGGCGCGCUACUGGACCGAAACUGACACUCAGGGACGAAAGCUAGGGGAGCGAAAGGGAUUAGAUACCCC